rnacentral:rRNA from 1 species
GAGUUUGAUCAUGGCUCAGGACGAACGCUGGCGGCGUGCCUAACACAUGCAAGUCGAACGAAGUUAGUUUUUCGGAAUUAGCUUAGUGGCGGACGGGUGAGUAACGCGUGAACAAUCUACCCUGUACAAAGGAAUAGCCUCGGGAAACUGGGAAUAAAACCGUAUGACACUUUUAAGUCGCAUGAUUUGAAAGUCAAAUUGAGUAAGAGGUAUGGGAUGAGUUCGCGUCUGAUUAGCUAGUUGGUGAGGUAAUGGCUCACCAAGGCGACGAUCAGUAGCCGGCCUGAGAGGGUGAACGGCCACACUGGAACUGAGACACGGUCCAGACUCCUACGGGAGGCAGCAGUGGGGAAUAUUGCACAAUGGGCGAAAGCCUGAUGCAGCGACGCCGCGUGAGUGAAGAAGGUUUUCGGAUCGUAAAACUCUGUCCUUGGUGAAGAAAAAAAUGACGGUAGCCAAGGAGGAAGCCCCGGCUAACUACGUGCCAGCAGCCGCGGUAAUACGUAGGGGGCGAGCGUUGUCCGGAUUUACUGGGUGUAAAGGGA